UGGGAUGUGGCUCAGUGGUAGAGCACUUGCCUAGCAUGUAUGAUAUACCCUGGGUUCCAUCCUCAGCACUGCAA
rfam:Ictidomys tridecemlineatus contig070087, whole genome shotgun sequence.